GGGUAAUGACCCAAACCUAUAUGGCCCCUGGAUUGGACUGCGGCCGAUCAGGCUGUUGGUGAGGUAAUGGCCCACCAAACCUGUAACCGGUACGGGCUCUGAGAGGAGGAGCCCGGAGAUGGGCACUGAGACAAGGGCCCAGGCCCUAUGGGGCGCAGCAGGCGCGAAACCUCUGCAAUAGGCGAAAGCUUGACAGGGUUACUCUGAGUGAUUUCCGUUAAGGAGAUCUUUUGGCACCUCUAAAAAUGGUGCAGAAUAAGGGGUGGGCAAGUCUGGUGUCAGCCGCCGCGGUAAUACCAGCACCCCGAGUGGUCGGGACGUUUAUUGGGUCUAAAGCAUCCGUAGCCGGUUCUACAAGUCUUCCGUUAAAUCCACCUGCUCAACAGAUGGGCUGCGGAAGAUACUAUGGAGCUAGGAGGCGGGAGAGGCAAGCGGUACUCGAUGGGUAGGGGUAAAAUCCGUUGAUCCAUUGAAGACCACCAGUGGCGAAGGCGGCUUGCCAGAACGCGCUCGACGGUGAGGGAUGAAAGCUGGGGGAGCAAACCGGAUUAGAUACCCGGGUAGUCCCAGCUGUAAACGAUGCAGACUCGGUGAUGAGUUGGCUUUAUGCCAACUCAGUGCCGCAGGGAAGCCGUUAAGUUUGCCGCCUGGGGAGUACGGUCGCAAGACUGAAACUUAAAGGAAUUGGCGGGGGAGCACCACAAGGGGUGAAGCCUGCGGUUCAAUUGGAGUCAACGCCGGAAACCUUACCGGGGGCGACAGCAGAAUGAAGGUCAAGCUGAAGACUUUACCAGACAAGCUGAGAGGAGGUGCAUGGCCGUCGCCAGCUCGUGCCGUGAGGUGUCCUGUUAAGUCAGGUAACGAGCGAGACCCCUGCUUCUAGUUGCUACCAUUAUUCUCAGGAGUAGUGGAGCUAAUUAGAGGGACUGCCGUCGCUGAGACGGAGGAAGGAGGGGGCUACGGCAGGUCAGUAUGCCCCUAAACCCUCGGGCCACACGCGGGUAGCAAUGGUAAGGACAAUGAGUUUCGAUUCCGAAAGGAGGAGGCAAUCUCUAAACCGUACCACAGUUAUGAUUGAGGGCUGAAACUCGCCCUCAUGAAU
rnacentral:rRNA from 1 species